GUCGGGGAAGAAGGAUUCUAGAUUCAGGGUCAAGGAGUAAACCUGCCCGUAAACCAGGGACAGCACAGGGCUCCAGAUGGAGGCUGGACACCAAGGCGUUUGGAAUGGACCGAAGUUCACCCUGUCCCUAGUCUGAGACCUCCUGUCCAGAACUUGCUCCUCCAGCUCCGUGAGGACUGUCCUGUGAGGCCCACGGAUGAAACUGAGACGUCAAGACCUGGUCAGGGACGUGUUUUCUUGCCUGAGAGAGAGCAAGGAAAGCUCCCUCCAGGGGCCGCGCAUUGUCAGCGGCCAGUUGAGAGCCUGGCCUCCUUCAGAGCUUGCCCCUGUUCUUUGCGCCAAGGCCAACCUCAUCCACACAUUUGUUCUCCUUCAACAAAGGCUUACUGAGCUCCUGUAAAAUGGCAGGUACAGUCCCCUGCAUACCUGAAUAAUACAAUUUUGAAAAUGUGUCCAAAGUUCUCGCUUCUGAAGGUUGAACAAAAUCCUGUUACUAGGUGGAUUCCAUUGAGAGCUAAACAAUUCUACAAAAUCCUAUUUAUGUGUAAUCAGUUUAUUGAUCACUUUUAACACAGUUGGAUGGGGAUAAACAGUUCCCCCCCCCCCCCAACUUCUAUUUCCAACCAGGCUCUGUAGAAUCUCUAUUUCCUGUCUUUUAAUGCUAUUUUGGACACAGUCUAUAAUGUUUCCUCCUCUUUCAAUUAUUAAAAGUUGAGAUCCCGUCUCCUCACUCCGCCGGCCCUGUCCAUGGGCAGACUUGUGGUUUGGAAGAUCCAAAGAUCAGUAGGGUCGGUGGUUGGUUCUUUUGAUUUGCCUCUUCCUCUAGCUGUUCGAGUUGGGGAGAGAGGGCUGGAGAGCCAAGGUGUAUUUCAGUCUCUUCCUCCUCCACUUUAGCAGCCUUGGAAAUCCUGGUUGGGAUUGCCAGGCUGGCUCUGAAAUCUCUCAGACUUAGUCUGCAAGGCUUAGUCCUUUAAGGCGUUGAGUGGGGAAGGAGGGAGACAGAGACCAGUGGCUGUUAACUCCGGCAACAGCCUCACCGGCAGCCUCUACCCCUCCCCAUGACUGUCCCCAUCCUUUCUCUAGCUGCUGCUGCUGCUGGAUUUGGGGGUGUAGUAGACUUCCAGAUGUUCCCUCUGGCACAUGCAGGAGUUCUUUACAAGGGCCCGUAAAACCUGGACAUGGGAAAGCGGAGACCCUUCCUCCAGAGGACCUGGGCACUCUUGGAGCUCCUGGCAGACUGCCCUCAGGUGGGGCCCUGCAAGUCACCACCUAGCUACUCGGUGGGGUCCGUUUGGCUACAAGAAACUCCUGUUUCCGUCCUGCCAUCUGCCCUGUGUCUGAUCACCUAUUUACCCUGUUGGUGAAAGAGGGAUCUCCUCUCUCUGUAAAUGACAUGAGGUGCCCAAAUACAGGACCAUUGAUGCUAGAGGAGAUGGGUGGUGGUGGGUUAGCCCCCCACAGCCCUGGGGGAGGGCACCACAGGCCAUGCAGGGCUGAACCAGAAGGGGCCUAGGAGGCAGGCUGG
rnacentral:lncRNA from 1 species